rnacentral:tmRNA from 8 species
GGGAGUGACAGGUUUUGACAUAUAGAUGACAUUGAUUCAGGCAACGCGGAGCGCCAAGCUCUCCUAAAACAGUUUGGAAAGAUUAAGUGUAAAAAACUUAUCUAAAGCAAUCGUCUCUCCAUUUUAUGGAGCAAACGACUUCGCUUUCUCUUACGCCACUGUCUAAACAACAGCCCUAAGAGACGGUCGCUCCUCACAUAUCUCGUACGAGGAGUUGAUUGACAUAACUUGAGGUUAGAAAUAUUUUUUGUCUCGGAAAUAUUUUGAAAUAAAGAAGACUCGAUUGUAUCGCAUUUUGUUUGUUCCAAGCAAUAUGAUUUAAACAUUAAAUAAACUACGCGCUGUAGAUUCGUUUCAAUUCUCUGUAUGCAUGCGAUUUCGAUAUCGCCACUUCCACAA